GUGUCACUGCUGAAAUCUCUCUCUCCAAAAUUUCAUCUCCCUCUAGCAAAUCUCUCUUCUCCAGUUGCCUUGUGUUCGAAGUUGGUUCUUUGCGGCCGAUUUACCAUAGAAUGAGAAUUAAGGAGUCGAGAAUUUGGAGAUUAUGCAUUUGUGAUCCAUUAUUCGUAGAGUGGGAUCUAAACACAAGUUUUCUUAGAGGCAAUUUUGAAAACUGAAGAAGACAGGAAUUCAUCGUCCCUUGUCCAAUUUUUACAAAAACUGAUUCUUGAGACAAGUUUGAAAGCAGAGAAAGACACAACAAAUUCUUAUUAUUUGCUGAGAUUUCAAUUUCUACAAAAUGGUAACAUUUUGAAUUUUAUUUAAUUUUUAAAUAUUUAUUUGUAUUUACAAUUUCUUAAAAUAAUAUUGCUUUUGAUGGGUUUAAGGUAGCUAUUGUAAUGGGCCAGGUCUACUUAUUUAAGAAGAUGAUUGAACAUCAAAUAUACUUAGAUUUGAAUAUUUGUAUCCCCUUAAUAUAGUAUUGUUAAAAAAGAAUACAUUGUAUUUUUAAGUAGGAUGUUAUUUUAAGAGAAAAUACAAAUAUUUAUCUUCAGUAAUAUAUUGUGAA